rnacentral:lncRNA from 1 species
CUUGCCUCCGCUGUGAGAGAAACCCCAGCCACAUCUCCAGCACAGAAGAACUUCAAAAUGCCUGAACUGCAGCGGCCAGGCAUUCCUCCAGGACCUCCUCCCCCAGGAUCUUGCUUCAAGUGCUGGAAAUCUGGCCACUGGGCCAAGGAAUGCCCACAGCCUGGGAUUCCUCCUAAGCCAUGUCCCAUCUGUGUGGGACCCCACUGGAAAUCAGACUGUCCAACUCACCUGGCAGCCACUCCCAGAGCCCCUGGAACUCUGGCCCAAAGCUCUCUGACUAACUCCUUCCCAGAUCUUCUAGGCUUAGUGGCUGAAGACUGAUGCUGCCUGAUUACCUAAAAAUCCUCCUGGACCAUCAUGGAUAGCUCUUACAGUGGAGGAAGACAGGAAUAGGCCUCGACUUACUCACUGCUGAAAAAGGAGGACGCUGCAUAUUUGUAAAUGAAGAGUGUUGUUUUUACCUAAAUCAAUCUGGCCUGAUAUAUGACAACAUAAAAAACUGAAGGAUAAAGCCCAAAAACUCGCCAACCAAGCAAGUAAUUAUGCUGAACCCCCUUGGGCACUCUCUAAUUGAAUGUCCUGGGUCCUCCCAAUUCUUAAUCCUUUAAUACCUGUUUUUCUCCCUCUCUUAUUUGGACCUUGUGUCUUCCGUUUAGUUUCUCAAUUCAUACAAAACUGUAUCCAGGCCAUCACCAAUCAUUCUAUAUGACAAAUGCUCCUUCUAAGAAGUGAAAAUGGCCGGUUCCUGCUGUAACUGAUGACAUUACCUUGUGAAAUUCCUACUCCUGGCUCAGAAGCUCCCCAACUGAGCACCUUGUGACCCUCGCCCUUGCCCACAAGAGAACAACCCCCUUUGACUGUAAUUUUCCACUACCUACCCAAGUGUUGGCAAAAUAAACUUUCUAAAUUAACUGAGACCUGUCUCAGAUUUCCUGGGUUCACAGUACUUUUAGGAAAGAGAUCCCAGGGAGCUCUCUAGCCUUCUUCCCACCAUGAGAGAACACUGGAAAAAAAUGGCCAUCUAUGAAGCAGCCCUCUCCAGACAUUGAAUCCUCUAGUGCCUUCAUCUUGGACUUCUCAGCCUGCAGAACUGUGGGGAAUAAAU